rnacentral:rRNA from 1 species
AGUGAACGCUGGCGGUAGGCCUAACACAUGCAAGUCGAACGGCAGCACAGGAGAGCUUGCUCUCUGGGUGGCGAGUGGCGGACGGGUGAGGAAUACACCGGAAUCUACUCUGUCGUGGGGGAUAACGUAGGGAAACUUACGCUAAUACCGCAUACGACCUACGGGUGAAAGCAGGGGACCUUCGGGCCUUGCGCGAUUGAAUGAGCCGAUGUCGGAUUAGCUAGUUGGCGGGGUAAAGGCCCACCAAGGCGACGAUCAGUCGCUGGUCGGAGAGGAGGAUCAGCCACACUGGAACUGAGACACGGUCCAGACUCCUGCGGGGGGCAGCAGUGGGGAAUAUUGGACAAUGGGCGCAAGCCUGAUCCAGCCAUACCGCGUGGGUGAAGAAGGCCUUCGGGUUGUAAAGCCCUUUUGUUGGGAAAGAAAUCCAGCUGGCUAAUACCCGGUUGGGAUGACGGUACCCAAAGAAUAAGCACCGGCUAACUUCGUGCCAGCAGCCGCCGUAA